GAAAUCUUAUUAUUUCAGAUUCUGUUACAAAUGAAGGUACAUUUGAGUGCAAGCGCUAUGAAAACAUUUUCAUAAUUGAUCAGUGACUCUGAGCUGCAAUACAAAUUAGUUGCAGAAUUACUCAGGGUGAAAAUAGAGCCAAUUAGCACACAGUUGAUUGACCCCUUUCUGGUCAGGAUCCUUGAAUCUUAGCAGGUUCAUUUGUCUGCUCUCAAUUGUUAUUGAUGCAAUAGGAUGAGGAAAUGUUUCACCAACGUAAUGAGUCUAAGGGGGAUUUGAGUCACGUUUCAUGAAAUAAACAAUGCAGAAGCUUUUCUGAGCUGCCAGAGGUACCCAGACGAAAAGGGUAGAAACUGCAGAGUUCAACAUGAUGUAUGAUGAAACCAGGAGCAACUGCAUCUUAUCUUUUUAUAAUGGAAAAGUUUGGUAUUGUACUCUUCCACUUUUGCAGGUAACAGACCUUAAAGGCCACCAUACCCAGACAUCUCCUGGGUUGCAUGUUAUAUAGCUGCUGCUCAAGCUUAAAGGAGAGUUUCAUGGGGAAAAUGCCAUUAACUAAUGCUACUGAUUUCAGAACAGUCUGAAGAAAGAGCUGGUGAUUCACUGUGCUGCAUCAGGAAUGUGCUCAUGUGAAAUGGCACUGUAUGUACUGGCUCAUCACUAAAGGUUGUAACUGUGCUAAAAAAAAAAAAAAAAGGUUUUACACUUCAGAUGACCCAGUAUGUUUCAUUUGGUAAUUUGUGAGGUCACUCCAGAUCAGUUUAUUACAGAAGAGAUUUCACAAGGGAUUAUUUCAUUUUCUACUUCAGACGUUAGACAUCCAGAGGUCAAACUACCAAGUCACCAUCUGCAUUUUAUUGCUUUCAAAGUAGAAUAGAAUAGAAAAGCCCUUUAUUGUACAAAAAAUACAACAAAUUUGUGGGUGCUUCACUCAAAUACUGUACAAGAAAUAUAAAAACACAAAACAAGAUGCAUUAACACAAACGCAGCUCAGUAAAAAGAGCACUUGGUCAUUUCUAUGUUCAUGUAUUAUAAUAUAUAAACCCCGAUACCAUUAUUUGCCUUACAAAAGCAAAUAUGCAUGUCUGAAGUACAAAAACUAAAUUUAACAUUUUUUUGUACAUUUUAGCUUUUAUAAAUAAUAAUUAUUUGUCAUAGGCAAUACCAAAUACUUUGCUGAAGAAGGUUAACAUGGCAACAUUCAACAUACAUUUCAGAAUGAUUAGGACUGACUAAGAACAAAAUGUAUCCACUCUACAAGAAUCUUUUAGAAAUUCAUCUUUUUGCAAUAACAAGGUUUCUUCCUGUUAAAAGGGAGUUUUUCCUUCCCACUGU
ensembl:lncRNA